rnacentral:rRNA from 1 species
CCUACGGGAGGCAGCAGUGGGGAAUAUUGCACAAUGGGGGAAACCCUGAUGCAGCGACGCCGCGUGAGUGAAGAAGUAUUUCGGUAUGUAAAGCUCUAUCAGCAGGGAAGAAAAUGACGGUACCUGAGUAAGAAGCCCCGGCUAACUACGUGCCAGCAGCCGCGGUAAUACGUAGGGGGCAAGCGUUAUCCGGAUUUACUGGGCGUAAAGGGAGCGUAGGCGGCAGGACAAGUCUGAAGUGAAAUGCCGGGGCUCAACCCCGGGGCUGCUUUGGAAACUGGGAGGCUAGAGUGCCGGAGAGGCAAGUGGAAUUCCUAGUGUAGCGGUGAAAUGCGUAGAUAUUAGGAGGAACACCAGUGGCGAAGGCGGCUUACUGGACUGUAACUGACGUUGAGGCUCGAAAGCGUGGGGAGCAAACAGGAUUAGAUACCCGAGUAGUC